CUAGAGUACGAGUGAAAGUUAAUUUUCUUCCGAUGUUUGUUUGUAUAGCUAGCUGUGGAAUUAAAGUUUUCCCGAUUCUGCUGUUUGACAGAAAUUAAAUGGCGUAAAAGUUGGGGGUAUGAGAGAUCGGUUAAUGUUAUAUUAUUUUUCUCCUCACUUUUUUUUCACGCAAUUGAUUUCGGCCUAUGCUAUCUUGGAAAGUUUGAGUUUUAAUCAACGGAAAAGUUAAGGUGAACCAAACAAUGAAAGUGGAUAUUUACGGUCGAAAACUACUUCUCCACUCUCCACUUUUGGUG
rnacentral:lncRNA from 1 species